UACGAAGGGGGCUAGCGUUGCUCGGAAUCACUGGGCGUAAAGCGCACGUAGGCGGAUCUUUAAGUCAGAGGUGAAAUCCCAAGGCUCAACCUUGGAACUGCCUUUGAUACUGAGGAUCUUGAGUUCGGGAGAGGUGAGUGGAACUGCGAGUGUAGAGGUGAAAUUCGUAGAUAUUCGCAAGAACACCAGUGGCGAAGGCGGCUCACUGGCCCGAUACUGACGCUGAGGCACGAAAGCGUGGGGAGCGAACAGG
rnacentral:rRNA from 1 species